rnacentral:rRNA from 1 species
GACGAACGCUGGCGGCGUGCUUAACACAUGCAAGUCGAACGGAAAGGCCUUUUCGGAGGUACUCGAGUGGCGAACGGGUGAGUAACACGUGGGUGAUCUGCCCUGCACUCUGGGAUAAGCCUGGGAAACUGGGUCUAAUACCGGAUAGGACCGCACUUUAGUGUGUGUGGUGGAAAGUUUUUUCGGUGUAGGAUGAGCCCGCGGCCUAUCAGCUUGUUGGUGGGGUAAUGGCCUACCAAGGCGGCGACGGGUAGCCGGACUGAGAGGUUUGUCGGCCACAUUGGGACUGAGAUACGGCCCAGCCUCCUACGGGAGGCGGCAGUGGGGAAUAUUGCACAAUGGGCGCAAGCCUGAUGCAGCGACGCCGCGUGGGGGAUGACGGCCUUCGGGUUGUAAACUCCUUUCGCCAGGGACGAAGCGUUUUGUGACGGUACCUGGAGAAGAAGCACCGGCUAACUACGUG